ACAUUGACUAGAAUAGUAAACAACGGAACUUUACUAUUUCGCAUUGUGAACAUUAUGAUAGUUGGAGACUUUUACUUCAUGCAUAGUUGCUUCAUACUUAUGCUAAUUACGCUAAGUAGAGAUAUCAUGUUGUAGUAGGUUACAUUAUUUUUACUUACCUUUCGCUUUUCUACUGUUAUUGUCACUGACAUCUUUUGUAGCUUUGGGCCUCGUGGUGCAUUCACUGAAGUCAGUAAUUGCCCACUGGGAACUAUUUUUAAUAGUUCUCACGCCCCUGUUUUAUGGUUUCCUUUUCAGAGCCUUCGGCACCGGCGGAGGCACGGGAUCGCGGCAAGGGGAUCGCUUAGCUAGCUAGCGAGGAGCGGUACUUUGCCUAGGUGGUUACUCUUUCUUUUGUAGUUGAGAGAGUGAGAGGUUUUGUAUCUAUGUAUAGAGACCACCUAUGUAUCUACCUAUAGCACUUGUAUCUGGAAUUUUCUUGUAUCACUUUAUGUUUUAUUUAGUGGAUUUACCGUUUUAUCCUUAUCCCUUGUUGUAGCAUUUAGACAUUUAUUAUGCUCU
rnacentral:lncRNA from 1 species